rnacentral:tRNA from 1 species
GAGGUUGUGGCUCAGUGGUAGAGUGCUUGCCUCGCAUGCAUGAGGCACUGGGUUCAAUUCUCAGCACCACA